AUCAGGAGGCUGACUCCUCUCCUGGAGCAUAACGGCUUCCCCAUUCAAUCUAAUGGCACAGUCUGUUCUGGAAGACCACAGUUGGCAGUAGCACCAAUGGAAAGGAUCCCACCUCUGUCCCAGCACCCACUGCAGAGAUUGCAAUAUGGAAUGCGUUGGAUUUCCUCAGCUAGGCUGUGAGAAGGGCCUACAGAGAUCCUCUUAGGAGUACGGAGCCUGGGCUGGGAGGAGUCUGGAAGCCAGAAGAGUGAUAUCCAGGUGAGGAGCUUCUUUGUUGCAGUGCUGGAGACAAAUGAAGUAUAUUCUUGCACAGUCUGGAAGCCAGAAGAGUGAUAUCCAGGUGAGGAGCUUCUUCGUUGCAGGUUCCCAGAGGAACUGGUCAGUGCCUCUCCCCAUCAUCUGCGGGCUACUGGAAACACUCAGUGUUUCUUAGUUUGUAAAUGCACCACUUAGAUCUCUGUUGCCAUUGUCACAGGGGUCUCUGAGCGUGUGCCUGUGUGUUCAGAGGUCUUCUUGCAAAGACACUGGUCAUCAGGUCCCACUCUAUGCGGUCUGACCACACCUUAAUUAUACCUGAGAAGAUCCACAUUCCUUUUCCAGACCCAGUUACAUGCUGAGGUUGUAGAGGGACAUGAACCUUGGGGAAACACUGACUGCUUAGUCUCGUACUGGUCAACAGCAGUGCCCAACAGAUUGUAAGAAUACCAUCUUUUAAAAUGUAAAACAAAUGUCAUAGGAUGAGUUGAUUUUUUUCAUAGGAUCUGUUGAUUUAAAUAGUUUUAAACCUAGAGGAAAGACACUGAGCUUCUAGAUCAAGUCUCAGCUGAAACUCUCAUCAUUUCUGGGAUUUUUUUUGAGUUUUCUGGUUUGAGAAAGCAAGGUUUCUGCUUUCUGCUCCCUGAGACUCAAAGAGCCCCACCUGACUCAGCUAAAGCUGGAUGCACAGAAACAAAGGCCAUCAACAGGCUUAGGCUCAUCGCUGCAUCUCAGCUCUGUUUCUCUGUUGCCUUCACUCUUGGGCAGCUUGCUUUUCUACCUAGAGAUCUAAAAGUCCAAAUAAAGUUUAGCCACUUCCAUGGGAAGAA